GGGUGGAGUGUGCUUCCGGGACCAAAGGUCGGGUCCCAAUUCAGAUGGCGCUAGUCGCCAAUCAUGGUGGCAUAUAAAAAGAGUUUUGAUAAAUCUCCCCCUAUGUCCCUUGAUAAAGUCCAGGUAGACGAAACGUACGUCGGGGCUCCCAGCGGCAGCAUUCCCUAUGGACCCCUUGGAGGAGAUUAAUCAAAACCUGUGCAGAGGAAAGUUGUCUAGUUGCCCAUAGCAACCAAUCAGAUUGCUUCUUAAAUUUUUAAAAAGGCCUCCGAAAAAUUAAAGCGGAACAACAGAAGAAAGAACAGGGGUGUGAACUCAGCCUAAGAUGUUUGACCAAGGCGAUUCUGGAAAUAAAGAAACAACAAACAAGCCUGAACAGAAAAAAAAAAAACAUAUUUAGGAAACAGAACCAG